rnacentral:rRNA from 1 species
UACAGAGGUCCCAAGCGUUGUUCGGAUUCAUUGGGCGUAAAGGGUGCGUAGGCGGCGCGGUAAGUCGGGUGUGAAAUCUCGGGGCUUAACUCCGAAACUGCAUUCGAUACUGCCGUGCUUGAGGACUGGAGAGGAGACUGGAAUUUACGGUGUAGCGGUGAAAUGCGUAGAUAUCGUAAGGAAGACCAGUGGCGAAGGCGGGUCUCUGGACAGUUCCUGACGCUGAGGCACGAAAGGUCAGGGGGAGCAAACGGGG